UACGUAGGGUGCGAGCGUUAAUCGGAAUUACUGGGCGUAAAGCGUGCGCAGGCGGUUUUGUAAGCCAGAUGUGAAAUCCCCGGGCUUAACCUGGGAAUGGCAUUUGGGACUGCAAGGCUGGAGUGCGGCAGAGGAGACUGGAAUUCCCGGUGUAGCAGUGAAAUGCGUAGAUAUCGGGAGGAAUACCGAUGGCGAAAGCAGUCUUCUGGACCAUCACUGACUCUGAUCUGCGAAAGCUAGGGGAGCAAACAGG
rnacentral:rRNA from 1 species